CUCAGAAAAUGCCCACUGCAGCUGUAUGCUGAUGAAUAGGAAGCAUGCAUCUUCUGUUCGCAACAAGCUGAGCCAUCUUCUACUUUAAGAAUUAUAUUCGAAGAGUUGCUGUGUGUUUACUUUAGCCUAGAAACACUCUGCUAGUUUGAGACUUGGCUACCUGAAAACAGCUCUGAAGCAUUUUUUUUCUUUCAUUUUAUCAACUGAAAUAAACUUUUAUAGCUAUGAAUGAGAGAAGGAACAAGGGUCAGAGUCUCUCAGUCUUAAGAUUUUACCAGUCUUGCUUGGUUUAUCACUUGCCCCUCACCCUUGCGCAACACUAGGCAUUAUUACUUUUUUAACGUUUGCCCACGUCAUUGGUGAAAAUUGGUGCGUUUAUCGCCGAUGAGGUUGAACAUCUCUGCAUAUUUGAUUGCUGGCUGUUUUCAUGGUGGCAGGCCAGAUUUUUCCACUGCGAGCAUCUUGGAGUAAUUCUGUUUCAGGAAGAUGAUGUUUUUCAACAAGUAGUCCUUGGACUGUCUACAGCAGGAGUCACCCAGGGCAGUCUUUAAAAUGCACAUUAUAGGGCACUAGGCCAGAAUAGAGGGGAAAGCAGAAGAAGAAACGGCAGGCACCAGGCAUCCACAUUUGUGACAAGUUCCCCAGGGACAGUUGCCACAUAUCUUCUUGGUGUCAUAGUGGUACUAUAUGGAUGCACACUGCCAUUUCAGUUGAGUGCGUACAUCACUGUUUGCUUAUACAAAUCUUCCCCACUAAGUCAUCAGGAUAGAGCAAGGGCUGUUUGGGCUGUUUAAAAGUGAAACGUGGAAAAUGGUUCUUUGGAAAAAAAGUUUGUCAGAAUUUUUUUUAUUGCUUUUGCUCUAAUAGCAGUGUGAAAGAAAAGUGCCAUUAAAGUUUAUUAGCUGCCAAAUUUUGCAGAACCCAGCCUUUGCAUAGAAUGGGCUUUGUGCUCUUAGCUGUUCCAUGCAAGGAGCCAAUAACUGUGUGUUUUCCUUUAUGGCCAAAUCACAGUAUUUUGUGCCAGAACCUCAAUGAUCUCUGUUUCUUGCCAUAUUUGGUCUCAGAUUGUGGUCACAAGAGGGAAACAACUUAUAUUUAUUUUGUAAAAUAAAAUUUAAAAUAAGACUAUUCUGAUAACCAAAUCAAGAGAUUUGACGUCAGUCUGUUUCCCUGUUAUUUCUGUUGCUUAUACAUAGUUACCUCCUAUUCGUUCUUUCUCUAGAAAAAUCAAUAUUAUUAACUGUUUCAGAUUAUAAAUUUCUAGAGAAUUUAUUUCCUUUCUAUGUAUAUUAUGUUCAAAAGCAUAUGAAAUAAUAACUUAUAGUGAGUAGCCUGAGUUUUGGUUUAGUUACCUGAACUUUGUCGAAACCGUGCGAACAUGGAGUAUACCUGGUCAGACCAUUUUUCAGGGGGAACAAAGUUGUGUGCCCCAGUGUUGGCAUGUUUCCUUUUAUAUGCACAUUUCCAAGUAUUAAAAAAGAAAAGUAACAAAGGAAAACAAUGAAGAAUUUCUGUGGUCAGGAAUUUUGAAACUACUUCUAUUGGUAUUACUGUCUUUUCAAAAUAAGAUUUCAAAAUAGUCCUAAUCUUGAGUUAGCGUCAAGCUUGUUUGGCUAAGUUUGGUCUGUAUUACCCGAUAGAUCGGAUAUGGAUAUCUGUCCAGUUCCCCAGUUACAUAUUGUAAACCUGAUACCACAUGUGUGGUGAGACUAUGAUGUGUAUGCAUCAGUUUCUCCCCUGGCAUUGUAGAUAAAGCACUGCAUGAUAUGCUGACUAGGUUUCUGGCCAACUGUUGGGUUGUGUACCUGAAGCUGUCAUGAUUAAACACUCUGUUAAGGGAGACUGUGCUAGGUGACUGGGGGCAAGAAGCACAAAAAGCGCUUUAAUCUGAGAGGUUUUCUUUCUAAAAUUUUAGCAUGCACC